rnacentral:rRNA from 1 species
UACGUAGGGGCAAGCGUUGUCCGGAUUUAUUGGGCGUAAAGAGCGUGUAGGCGGCUAGAUAGGUCCGUUGUGAAAACUCGAGGCUCAACCUCGAGACGUCGAUGGAAACCAUCUGGCUAGAGUCCGGAAGAGGAGAGUGGAAUUCCUGGUGUAGCGGUGAAAUGCGCAGAUAUCAGGAAGAACACCCGUGGCGAAGGCGGCUCUCUGGUACGUGACUGACGCUGAGACGCGAAAGCGUGGGGAGCAAACAGG